rnacentral:tRNA from 1 species
GCGCGGUUAGCUCAUAUGGUUAGAGCGCAGCAUUGACAUUGCUGAGGUGAGAGGUUCGAUCCCUCUACCGUGCA